GUGCGGAGUCAUGCGUGUGCACGUGUGUAGAGACGAGCGUGUGCACGUGUGUAGAGACGAGCGUGUGCGCGUGUGCGGAGACGUGCGUGUGCGCGUGUGCGGAGUCGUGCGUGUGCACGUGUUUGUGUAUCAGAGUGUUUGUUUUUGUUUACAUGUCCACAGAGUUGAUCAGAUCCAGUUUGGAUGUUUUUGUUUUUUUCGUUUUUUGAGGCCAAAGUUUUUACUCUUCUUUUUUUUCUUGAUUUGAUGUUUCUGUAAACAUUCCCAGGAGGUCUUCCCUGGGGGGCUGCAGUAAAGAUUUAUAAUGAGGCCCACACUGCCUGCACCUGUGGGGGGGCACAAGGCUGAAGACUCGGCUGCAGAUCCAGACCCCCCAGGUCUAAACGUUUACAGGAUAUUUAGUUAGAUUCCACCGGCUGACGUCUUCUUUGGUGUUGGUGGUUCUCCUGGGGGGGGGUCACAUUCCUAAGGAUGCUUAACCGCCAAAAACAGAAAAUGUUUUGUGAUUUUCAUUUUUAGAACUUUAAAACCGAGAAUACAUACAAAUAACAGCCCCCCCCCCCUCUAUAAACACAGAAGAACUGAACUCUAUGCACCUGACCUUCUGGGUAGUGAGGGAGGCUGAUCUCACAGGUGAUCCUACAGCUGAUCCUACUGGUGAUCCUACAGGUGAUCCUACAGCUGAUCUCACAGCUGAUCCUACAGCUGAUCCUACAGGUGAUCCUACUGGUGAUCCUACAGCUGAUCCUACUGGUGAUCCUACAGCUGAUCCUACAGCUGAUCCUACAGGUGAUCCUACAGCUGAUCUCACAGCUGAUCCUACAGCUGAUCCUACAGCUGAUCCUACAGCUGAUCUCACAGGUGAUCUCACAGGUGAUCCUACAGGUGAUCCUACAGCUGAUCCUACAGCUGAUCUCACAGCUGAUCCUACAGCUGAUCCUACAGCUGAUCCUACAGCUGAUCUCACAGGUGAUCCUACAGGUGAUCCUACAGGUGAUCUCACAGCUGAUCCUACAGCUGAUCUCACAGGUGAUCCUACAGCUGAUCCUACUGGUGAUCCUACUGGUGAUCCUACAGCUGAUCUCACAGGUGUGUUCUAAUGUUUACAUGGUGGAUUGUCAGUGACCUUCUCAGCUGCUCUGAUGUCAUCACGCCGUCUCCGUCGUCCCGGGUCAAACCCGCACUGACUCUGUGCUGAGACUGUAAAUAUCUGUGUUCACGCUGGAGCUGAACGGAUCGCCGCGCCGGGGCGCGUUCCAGCUCGACGUGGACCAAACGUGCACGCUCUUUCAGGGGGAGGACAUCAGGGUCGGAGAAGCCACGUAGAAACCUGGACGUCGGUGCAUGGGGGAGGUUCCUGCGCCGCCACACGCCGACGCCAGCAGGACUGAAGCACCACGCACACAGACAUGGUGCAUGAUGGGAAAUCCCAAACACAAAGAGCUCUGUGUCGUGUUUCCGCUGAUGGUUGUUGGGUUCAUGUGGAUAUUUCAUUCUGGUUUUCUAUUUUUUCAGUGUCUGUGAAUACAUAAAUACUGAUGGCGUGUUGUGGUGCAAAGUGUGCGCAUGAACAUUUUUUGAUACACAAACGUUUCGAUUUCUUCAUUUUUAUUCCACUUGUCUGAAUGGGUUUGAGGUUUGAGGUUUCUCCGUGUUCCUGCUUCCAAUAAAAGAUCAACCAGA